rnacentral:misc_RNA from 1 species
CUGAAAUGCAGAAGGCAUGGCCCGAGUCUCUCGGGCUUUUGUGUAUGCAUUAUACCCACCCUUGACUUUGAGCACCGUAUGUUUCCUCGGCGGGGACGCCCGCCAUCGAGGACUCUCCAAACCCUUUGCAGUAGCAGUAUUUGUCUGAAAACACAAAACUAUUA